UGUUGGUUAUUCUGCAAUGUUUGUCCGUUAAAUUGGUCAGGUCUGGAAAGAAGCAGCCAAAACGAAAUAGGCAUGUGCUGGAAUGUGACUAACAGGG
rnacentral:SRP_RNA from 2 species